rnacentral:misc_RNA from 1 species
AGAUAAAGAUGAGAGUAUGGAGUAUUUGAGUAUGCACCUGCCGGAGCUUAAGUUCGGUCGGAAGGAUGUAAAUGUUCAGGCGUACGAGCAGGCGCUUACCAGCUGGACGGAUGAUGUUCCCACGUGCAGGGAGAGUGGUGUUGGCUCAGCUAUAAACGAGCUAUACCGGAGGGAUGGAAGUAGAAUUCAAAUUCAUUCUUUUCAAGACAGAUCAUUUCGGUUUCGAGUAGAAGACUACGACCUCUGUGUUUACGGAGUAUUCGAUGGGUUCGGCGGAGCUCAGGUUGCAGAUUUUGUGACGAAGCGGAUACCGGCGGAACUGCUCUGGGGUCAACUCGUCCCGGAAAAGUCAGAUGAGGCUGUGAAAGAAACCCUACGUCAAGCUUUCAUUAGUGUUGAUAAAGAAUAUUUCGAAUCAAUAGGAGACAGAUUAGCUGCUAGAAUGGUAAUGCAGUGUGAUCCUCAGUAUUCCUCUAGCUCCCAGCUGGAGGAGCUGGAGGACCGGGUUCGGGCAGGCUCUGCUGGUGUACUGGCGGUUGUACUAGGAAACCGGUUAUUUGUCGCGAGUAUAGGAGACUGCAGAGCCCUUUUAUACAGAAGCGGCGAGAUUCUUCCCUUGUCCAUUGAUCAUACAAUAUAUAACGAAGACGAGCUUCUCCGUUUAUCUCAUCUUGGUGUCGAUCUCAAACUAGGAGUUUCCUACCCAGAGCUAGGAGAGAGAUCUUACACAAGGUGUUUGGGAAACUAUCCUGUGAAAGGUGGGUACAAGGAGUCAACCCUCCUUGCCUCCUGUCAAGACGAACCUGUGAUACCUGAACCUGAAGUUCUUGGAGGAAUUCCUAUCCAGGACUUCUCCUUCCUCCUCCUCUAUACGAAGUCUCUGUGGCACGCCGUGGCUGAAGCAACUGGAUGUCAAGAUCCGGAUUCAGAGAUUGCCGAACUUUGUAGAUAUUACUUCAGAGAAGAAUCAAGUUUAUCCGGAGUAGCCCAAGCAGUAGUUGACCAGGUUGUCCGGUUACAUCAUGACCGCCUGGAGGCUAGUGGAGGUAGAGCAGAUACAAGAGAGGACAUCACCCUUCUUAUCAGAGAGUUUGGAGGAUGCCGAGAACCUCGUGGGAAUACUCCGGGUAGAGGGUUGUCCAGAGGGUUGAUGGAUAAGAAGGAGGAGAAAACGUUAACCCGGAGUAGUGCAAGACCAUCCCGACCUACAAGAUCCAGUACAACUACUGAGAGUAGUGGAGUAUAUCUGGCAGGGAAAGAGAUACCUAUAGAUGAACACGGACGGAUACAACCCUACGUUGACUUUGCUCCGUUCUAUCAACUGUGGAACCAACGGAAGUUCUCUCAAGGUUCUUCGGAUAAGUGAGAAGACUGAUGGCAGAAACAGAAUGCAAGAAGACUAAUUAUUAUGUCAAACCAAAAGUAUUUUUUGCGUCCCAAAAUAGUAAUAAUCGAACAUUCCCUUCAUUCCGAAGCUGCUUAAAUAUUAACCGCCCCCCCCCCCCAACAAAAAAAAAACUCUUUCAGAAAAUGCGCAAAGUCAUAUCCCAGUUCAGGGAACUCGGAACUAUACUCUGAAAGAGCUUAUAAUUGACAAAGUCUUUCUGAAUUGUGCGUAUCUCGUGCAUGAGAUUUUUAUUUUACGAAAACUGUCACAAAUAAUUAGGCACGGGUUCAAAUGAAGUUUCAUCCUUAAGUACAAGAAUAUAUGUAUUGUAUAACAUUUAUGUAUUAUAUGUAAUGUAUCCAAUAACUAGUCGAGUUGCUAUUAUUAUAAUAAAUGAAGUAAUUCUCUCGUUU